GUGCUCGCUUCGGCAGCACAUAUACUAAGACUGGCAUGAACAGAGAAGAUUCGCAUGGCCCCUGCACAUGGAUAACAUGCAAAUUUGUGAAGCGUUCCAUGUUUAA